UACGUAGGGAGCGAGCGUUGUCCGGAUUCAUUGGGCGUAAAGAGCUCGUAGGCGGCUUGAUAAGUCGGAUGUGAAACCUCCAGGCUCAACCUGGAGUCGCCAUCCGAUACUGUCAUGGCUAGAGUCCGGUAGGGGCCCACGGAAUUCCUGGUGUAGCGGUGAAAUGCGCAGAUAUCAGGAAGAACACCCGUGGCGAAGGCGGCUCUCUGGGACGGUACUGACGCUGAGACGCGAAAGCGUGGGGAGCAAACAGG
rnacentral:rRNA from 1 species